ACCUGUGUUGCGCCUCCUGAAGUGCACCUGUGCCAUGCUAGGUGCGUUCCUCUGGCUGACAGCCCAAUUCCCAGGGACCAGGAUGCAGUGUCACUCCCUCUCCCCAUGGACAGGUGCGGAGCGGAGGACACAGGGUAUCUUUCAGGCCCGAAGGCUGAUACCAGUGCUCUGGGGCCAGUCUGACCUUCAGCAGACCUAAAAUCUUCAAAUGCUCCACCUUGACUUUUGGUCACUUUUAAAAAACUGUUUUUUAGGAAAUGGCCUUAUUCUGGCCCAUCUAUCUUCUAAUCAUUCUUUUCACAUGAAGGACUUAAAAGUACAGAGAAGCCUGUUUGUCAACCCACGUGCCUGUGGCCCCUCCACUCUGACCCCUCCUGCUCCUUGGCUCCUGCAGUGACCAGCCUUGAUGCCCGACACACUGUCUGAGACCUGAAACCCUUGCUUUCUCCUCUCCUGCUGCAUGGAUGCUGCAGUCUCCUCCAUGCUUGAGAGGUGCUCCUCAUGCUGAGAUGCCCUCCUACCUACUGGCACCUCUGCAGGGCCUGUCUUCUCUGUCUCCAGAAAAGGAAGGGUUCAGAGGUGCCUGGUGCCAGCCCGCAGGCUUCCCUUCUGCAUUGUCGCUCUCUCCACAGCCGCUGGGAGGAGCCACACAUCUUCAGGCUCGAUCAAGCAAUUUUCCAGGUGAAAGCAAGAAGAUAUAAUUCCCAUGCCAGGAAUGCUUCUCAUCACUGGAUAAAGCCCAAAUCUCCAUAAUGCAGCCUUCUGUGUUUAUGACCAGGAAUUCUUGACAUCUUUGACUCCCUGAUGAAGAAAUUGAGGUUCAGAGAUGUUCAGUAUCUUGCCCAGAGUCACACAGCUUUUACCUUAAGAUGGAUGCCUUGUGGGCAGGACAAUUGAGUAGAAUUUUCUUACUCAGGGAAUAUUUUGGAGGAAACGCAACCUACUGAACUGAAGAGAUGGCUUCUGCCACAGAAGCACCAUUGAUGGUUGAUGAAAAGCCCAGGGCAGAGGAUGCACCAAGCUGUAACUGUCCGAGAAUAUACUUUUUGUAAAGCAGCUGAUGAGACUCAUGGUCACAGUUACUGUACAGACCAUCUGGGUGAUUCAGAAGUCCUCUGAUUUGUUCAGCAGAUUCUCUAGAAGGAACUUAAGUGAUAUCCUAACUGGUCGCAGUGCCAAGUCUACAGCCCAAGGAAAUGAGAAAGGAACAUGUGGGAUUCUCCACUGUCAAUCUGUCACUUCUGAAGGAAGGCAGCUGAGAUGGUGGCUAAGUGGAGGUUUUGAAGAUCAGCAGAUCCCACGUCUGCCUCUUGCUGAAACCAGAUGAUACAUCUGUCUCACGUGUCUUUGAUGGGAAGGCUUCCAUGGCUAUUUUCUAUAAGAGGGUUUAUAUAGUUCAUGAUUCUGCAUCAUGACACCUUCUACCCUUGGUGUCUGGAAUGGAUACAGGGCUUGGGGAUGGGGGGCCCCACUUUGUCUUCAAGUUUGGAGGAUUCAGGCAAAAAUCCACCAUUGACCUUAAAUCAGACACAUUGAAAGAAUGUCUAACAUCCCACACAGUAUAACUGAGGUAGUGGUGCUAUCUCUGUGUUUAAUUUCUAUGGGACAAUAUUUUUAUGGAGGUAUACAAACAACAGCGACCACAGUAAACACGUUGAAGAGAAAAAAGGGGAAUUAGUGGUCCAGUCACUCUGUGAAAUGCCCUAUCUCUGGAGAUCUUGUGUUGGCUUCAACGUAACUUUCCUUUGUGUUUACUCCAGGGUUUCCGCAGGGCCUCUUAGAGAUAAAAGAAAGACAGAGGAAAAGGGAGUAGCUGGAAAUAGGCAGGAAAAAAGCAAAAAAGAGGAAAAAUCUUAUAGUAUCUCAGAGAGGGUCAUUGUUAUUAUUAUUAUUAAAAUGAGUUGAAAGGAAUUGCUAUUUUCACCUUUCAGAUCCUACUGCUACAAGAAGCUAAAGAUGUAAAGAUGAAGUUUAGGAUGUUGGUUCUGCAUCCCAGUUGUACUCAUGAAAUACUUCACAUUUGUAAACAUGGGUUUUUAUCAUGUUAAUGAAGGCACACUUGCUAUUGGGAAGGAAAAAGGCAAGAGUACUUACCUUUGUA